UACGUAGGGUGCAAGCAUUAAUCGGAUUUAUUGGGCGUAAAGGGCGCGUAGGCGGGCAUGUAAGUCAGAUGUGAAAUCCCGGGGCUCAACCCCGGAACAGCAUUUGAAACUACAUUUCUAGAGGGUAGGCGGAGAAAACGGAAUUCCACAAGUAGCGGUGAAAUGCGUAGAUAUGUGGAAGAACACCUGUGGCGAAGGCGGUUUUCUAGCUUAUACCUGACGCUGAUGCGCGAAAGCAAGGGGAUCAAAC
rnacentral:rRNA from 1 species